rnacentral:tRNA from 1 species
GUUUUGUUAGUAUAUCCCUAGUAUACUUGUUUUCCAAACAAAAGGUUUAGCUAAAAAUUAAACAAAAUA